UACGUAGGGUGCAAGCGUUAAUCGGAAUUACUGGGCGUAAAGCGUGCGCAGGCGGUGAUGUAAGACAGUUGUGAAAUCCCCGGGCUCAACCUGGGAACUGCAUCUGUGACUGCAUCGCUGGAGUACGGUAGAGGGGGAUGGAAUUCCGCGUGUAGCAGUGAAAUGCGUAGAUAUGUGGAGGAAUACCGAUGGCGAAGGCAGCCCCCUGGGCCAACACUGACGCUCAUGCACGAAAGCGUGGGGAGCAAACAGG
rnacentral:rRNA from 1 species